rnacentral:rRNA from 1 species
UACGUAGGGUGCGAGCGUUAAUCGGAAUUACUGGGCGUAAAGCGUGCGCAGGCGGUUAUGUAAGACAGAUGUGAAAUCCCCGGGCUUAACCUGGGAACUGCAUUUGUGACUGCAUAGCUAGAGUACGGUAGAGGGGGAUGGAAUUCCGCGUGUAGCAGUGAAAUGCGUAGAUAUGCGGAGGAACACCGAUGGCGAAGGCAAUCCCCUGGACCUGUACUGACGCUCAUGCACGAAAGCGUGGGGAGCAAACAGG